GCGGGGUAGAGCAGUUUGGUAGCUCGCAAGGCUCAUAACCUUGAGGUCACGGGUUCAAAUCCUGUCUCCGCA
rnacentral:tRNA from 26 species